rnacentral:rRNA from 1 species
GAUGAACGCUGGCGGCGUGCCUAAUACAUGCAAGUCGAGCGAACGGACGAGAAGCUUGCUUUUCUGAUGUUAGCGGCGGACGGGUGAGUAACACGUGGAUAACCUACCUAUAAGACUGGGAUAACUUCGGGAAACCGGAGCUAAUACCGGAUAAUAUUUUGAACCGCAUGGUUCAAAAGUGAAAGACGGUCUUGCUGUCACUUAUAGAUGGAUCCGCGCUGCAUUAGCUAGUUGGUAAGGUAACGGCUUACCAAGGCAACGAUGCAUAGCCGACCUGAGAGGGUGAUCGGCCACCACGGAACUGAGACACGGUCCAGACUCCUACGGGAGGCCGCAGUAGGGAAUCUUCCGGAAUGGGCGAAAGCCUGACGGAGCAACGCCGCGUGAGUGAUUAAGGUCUUCGGAUCGUAAAACUCUGUUAUUAGGGAAGAACAUAUGUGUAAGUAACUGUGCACAUCUUGACGGUACCUAAUCAGAAAGCCACGGCUAACUACGUG